UGGGGAAUAUUGGACAAUGGGCGAAAGCCUGAUCCAGCCAUGCCGCGUGUGUGAAGAAGGUCUUCGGAUUGUAAAGCACUUUAAGUUGGGAGGAAGGGUAGUAACUUAAUACGUUGCUACUUUGACGUUACCGACAGAAUAAGCACCGGCUAACUUCGUGCCAGCAGCCGCGGUAAUACGAAGGGUGCAAGCGUUAAUCGGAAUUACUGGGCGUAAAGCGCGCGUAGGUGGUUCAGUAAGUUGGAUGUGAAAUCCCCGGGCUCAACCUGGGAACUGCAUCCAAAACUGCUGAGCUAGAGUACGGUAGAGGGUAGUGGAAUUUCCUGUGUAGCGGUGAAAUGCGUAGAUAUAGGAAGGAACACCAGUGGCGAAGGCGACUACCUGGACUGGUACUGACACUGAGGUGCGAAAGCGUGGGGAGCAAACAGGAUUAGAUACCCUGGUAGUCCACGCCGUAAACGAUGUCAACUAGCCGUUGGGAGUCUUGAACUCUUAGUGGCGCAGCUAACGCAUUAAGUUGACCGCCUGGGGAGUACGGCCGCAAGGUUA
rnacentral:rRNA from 1 species